AUUGAACGCUGGCGGAAUGCUUUACACAUGCAAGUCGAACGGCAGCACGGGGCAACCUGGUGGCGAGUGGCGAACGGGUGAGUAAUAUAUCGGAACGUGCCCAAUCGUGAGGGAUAACGUAGCGAAAGUUACGCUAAUACCGCAUACGAUCUACGGAUGAAAGCGGGGGAUCGCAAGACCUCGCGCGAAUGGAGCGGCCGAUAUCAGAUUAGGUAGUUGGUGGGGUAAAGGCUCACCAAGCCAACGAUCUGUAGCUGGUCUGAGAGGACGACCAGCCACACUGGAACUGAGACACGGUCCAGACUCCUACGGGAGGCAGCAGUGGGGAAUUUUGGACAAUGGGCGCAAGCCUGAUCCAGCCAUUCCGCGUGCAGGAUGAAGGCC
rnacentral:rRNA from 1 species